rnacentral:rRNA from 1 species
CGAUGCAUUAGCUAGUUGGUAAGGUAACGGGCGUUACCAAGGCGAUGAUGCAUAGCCCGAGUUGAGAGACUGAUCGGGCCACAUUGGGGACUGAGACACGGGCCCAAACUCCUACGGGAGGCAGCAGUAGGGAAUCUUCCACAAUGGACGAAAGUCUGAUGGAGCAAACGCCGCGUGAGUGAAGAAGGUUUUCGGAUCGUAAAGCUCUGUUGUUGGUGAAGAAGGAUAGAGGUAGUAACUGGCCCCCUUAUUUUGACGGUAAUCAACCAGAAAGUCACGGGCUAACUACGUGCCAGCAGCCGCGGUAAAU